rnacentral:rRNA from 1 species
CCUACGGGAGGCUGCAGUGGGGAAUAUUGCACAAUGGGCGAAAGCCUGAUGCAGCAACGCCGCGUGAGCGAUGAAGGUCUUCGGGUCGUAAAGCUCUGUCCUAAGGGAAGAAUACUGACGGUACCUUAGGAGGAAGCCCCGGCUAACUACGUGCCAGCAGCCGCGGUAAUACGUAGGGGGCUAGCGUUAUCCGGAAUUACUGGGCGUAAAGGGUGCGUAGGCGGCCCUUCAAGUCAGGGGUGAAAGGCUACGGCUCAACCGUAGUAAGCCUUUGAAACGGUGGGGCUUGAGGGCAGGAGAGGGGGGUGGUAUUUCCAGUGUAGCGGUGAAAUGCGUAGAAAUUGGGAGGAACACCAGUUGCGAAGGCGGCUCUCUGGACUGUAACUGACGCUGAGGCACGAAAGUGUGGGGAGCGAACAGGAUUAGAUACCCUAGUAGUC